GACCCCCCUCAACAUCCUCCCUUUAUUCCGGGCUUUUUGUUUGCUUUUGUCCUGACACGCAAAACAAAAACUCCUCCGGGGACUGCAGCGGCCGAGGCAAGUGUAAGAGGGAGAGCGGUGAUGACAGAGGAGAGGUGUGCCAAAGUGGAGCAGUAUGUUGGUGAAAUUAAAGGUGGCCUGAGACCAACCAUGAAACUCACAGUCAUAGGCAUGGUACAUUCCAAACCCAAGAGCUUUUCAGUGACUCUGCUCUGUGAUCCAGUG